rnacentral:tRNA from 1 species
GGCCGGGUGGCCUAAUGGCAAGGCGUCAGAUUUCGGCGUUAGAUCUCGAUUGAAAGAUCCUUCCAAUCUCUGAAGAUUGCGGGUUCAAAUCCCGUCUCGGUCG